GGGUUGUGAGGUUAAGCGACUAAGCGUACACGGUGGAUGCCCUGGCAGUCAGAGGCGAUGAAGGACGUGCUAAUCUGCGAAAAGCGUCGGUAAGGUGAUAUGAACCGUUACAGCCGGCGAUGUCCGAAUGGGGAAACCCAGUGUGAUUCGUCACACUAUCGUUAACUGAAUACAUAGGUUAACGAGGCGAACCGGGGGAACUGAAACAUCUAAGUACCCCGAGGAAAAGAAAUCAACCGAGAUUCCCCCAGUAGCGGCGAGCGAACGGGGAGCAGCCCAGAGUCUGAAUCAGCUUGUGUGUUAGUGGAACGGUCUGGAAAGUCCGACGGUACAGGGUGAUAGUCCCGUACACCAAAAUGCACAGGCUGUGAACUCGAAGAGUAGGGCGGGACACGUGGUAUCCUGUCUGAAUAUGGGGGACCAUCCUCCAAGGCUAAAUACUCCUGACUGACCGAUAGUGAACCAGUACCGUGAGGGAAAGGCGAAAAGAACCCCGGCGAGGGGAGUGAAAAAGAACCUGAAACCGUGUACGUACAAGCAGUGGGAGCACCUUCGGGUGUGACUGCGUACCUUUUGUAUAAUGGGUCAGCGACUUAUAUUCUGUAGCAAGGUUAACCGUAUAGGGGAGCCGCAGGGAAACCGAGUCUUAACUGGGCGUUAAGUUGCAGGGUAUAGACCCGAAACCCGGUGAUCUAGCCAUGGGCAGGUUGAAGGUUGGGUAACACUAACUGGAGGACCGAACCGACUAAUGUUGAAAAAUUAGCGGAUGACUUGUGGCUGGGGGUGAAAGGCCAAUCAAACCGGGAGAUAGCUGGUUCUCCCCGAAAGCUAUUUAGGUAGCGCCUCGUGAACUCAUCUUCGGGGGUAGAGCACUGUUUCGGCUAGGGGGUCAUCCCGACUUACCAACCCGAUGCAAACUACGAAUACCGAAGAAUGUUAUCACGGGAGACACACGGCGGGUGCUAACGUCCGUCGUGAAGAGGGAAACAACCCAGACCGCCAGCUAAGGUCCCAAAGUCACAGUUAAGUGGGAAACGAUGUGGGAAGGCACAGACAGCCAGGAUGUUGGCUUAGAAGCAGCCAUCAUUUAAAGAAAGCGUAAUAGCUCACUGGUCGAGUCGGCCUGCGCGGAAGAUGUAACGGGGCUAAACUGUGCACCGAAGCUGCGGCAGCGACACUAUGUGUUGUUGGGUAGGGGAGCGUUCUGUAAGCCUGCGAAGGUGGCCUGUGAGGGUUGCUGGAGGUAUCAGAAGUGCGAAUGCUGACAUAAGUAACGAUAAUGCGGGUGAAAAGCCCGCACGCCGGAAGACCAAGGGUUCCUGUCCAACGUUAAUCGGGGCAGGGUGAGUCGACCCCUAAGGCGAGGCCGAAAGGCGUAGUCGAUGGGAAACAGGUUAAUAUUCCUGUACUUGGUGUUACUGCGAAGGGGGGACGGAGAAGGCUAUGUUAGCCGGGCGACGGUUGUCCCGGUUUAAGCAUGUAGGCGGAGGUUCCAGGUAAAUCCGGUACCUUUUUAACGCUGAGGUGUGAUGACGAGGCACUACGGUGCUGAAGUAACAAAUGCCCUGCUUCCAGGAAAAGCCUCUAAGCAUCAGGUAACAUUAAAUCGUACCCCAAACCGACACAGGUGGUCAGGUAGAGAAUACCAAGGCGCUUGAGAGAACUCGGGUGAAGGAACUAGGCAAAAUGGUGCCGUAACUUCGGGAGAAGGCACGCUGAUAUGUAGGUGAAGCCCCUGCGGGUGGAGCUGAAAUCAGUCGAAGAUACCAGCUGGCUGCAACUGUUUAUUAAAAACACAGCACUGUGCAAACACGAAAGUGGACGUAUACGGUGUGACGCCUGCCCGGUGCCGGAAGGUUAAUUGAUGGGGUUAUCCGUAAGGAGAAGCUCUUGAUCGAAGCCCCGGUAAACGGCGGCCGUAACUAUAACGGUCCUAAGGUAGCGAAAUUCCUUGUCGGGUAAGUUCCGACCUGCACGAAUGGCGUAAUGAUGGCCAGGCUGUCUCCACCCGAGACUCAGUGAAAUUGAACUCGCUGUGAAGAUGCAGUGUACCCGCGGCAAGACGGAAAGACCCCGUGAACCUUUACUAUAGCUUGACACUGAACAUUGAGCCUUGAUGUGUAGGAUAGGUGGGAGGCUUUGAAGCGUGGACGCCAGUCUGCGUGGAGCCAACCUUGAAAUACCACCCUUUAAUGUUUGAUGUUCUAACGUUGGCCCCUUAUCGGGGUUGCGGACAGUGUCUGGUGGGUAGUUUGACUGGGGCGGUCUCCUCCCAAAGAGUAACGGAGGAGCACGAAGGUUAGCUAAUCCUGGUCGGACAUCAGGAGGUUAGUGCAAUGGCAUAAGCUAGCUUGACUGCGAGCGUGACGGCGCGAGCAGGUGCGAAAGCAGGUCAUAGUGAUCCGGUGGUUCUGAAUGGAAGGGCCAUCGCUCAACGGAUAAAAGGUACUCCGGGGAUAACAGGCUGAUACCGCCCAAGAGUUCAUAUCGACGGCGGUGUUUGGCACCUCGAUGUCGGCUCAUCACAUCCUGGGGCUGAAGUAGGUCCCAAGGGUAUGGCUGUUCGCCAUUUAAAGUGGUACGCGAGCUGGGUUUAGAACGUCGUGAGACAGUUCGGUCCCUAUCUGCCGUGGGCGCUGGAGAAUUGAGGGGGGCUGCUCCUAGUACGAGAGGACCGGAGUGGACGCAUCACUGGUGUUCGGGUUGUCAUGCCAAUGGCAUUGCCCGGUAGCUAAAUGCGGAAGAGAUAAGUGCUGAAAGCAUCUAAGCACGAAACUUGCCCCGAGAUGAGUUCUCCCUGAGACUUUAAGUCUCCUGAAGGAACGUUAAAGACGAUGACGUUGAUAGGUCGGGUGUGUAAGCGUAGCGAUACGUUGAGCUAACCGAUACUAAUGAACCGUGAGGCUUAACCUUACAACGCCGAAGGUGUUU
rnacentral:rRNA from 1 species